rnacentral:rRNA from 1 species
CCUGAACGCUGUCGGCGUGACUAAGACAUGCAAGUCGUACGGUGUAGCAAUACACAGUGGCGCACGGGUGAGUAAUGUAUCGCUAAUGUACCCCGAACUCUGGGAUAGCCAGCCGAAAGGUUGGGUAAUACCAGAUGAGACCACGACCUGGCAUCAGGUUGUGCUCAAAGGUUCGCCGGUUUGGGAUCAGGCGAUAUGGUAUCAGGUAGUUGGUAGGGUAACGGCCUACCAAGCCUUCGACGCCUAGCUGGACUGAGAGGUCGGACGGCCACAUCGGGACUGAGACACUGCCCGGACUCCUACGGGGGGCUGCAGUAAUGAAUCUUCCGCAAUGCACGAAAGUGUGACGGAGCGACGCCGAGUGAAGGAUGAAGUUCUUCGGAAUGUAAACUUCUAAAAUCUGUUAGAAAGUUCUGAUCAGCAGACUAUAAGUGGCGACUAACUCUGUGCCAGCAGCCGCGG